rnacentral:misc_RNA from 1 species
AAGAAGUUCAAUGGUAGUUAUUGAUUUUGAAGGUUGGAUAGAUAACUGUGCAAUUCAUUUCUGGGUUUUUCUGGGUUUUGUGAGUAGUUUGAUGGGUCGAAGUUGGAUUUUUGAAUUGUGAGUGAUAUGUUGGAUUUUAGGAUAGGUGGUAAAAGGGGGGCUAGGGUUAGGGUUUUGUGUUGAAAGGUUUGAAAUUUGGGGUUAGGUUCUAUUUAUGAGUUGGGGAAGUAGUAGGGUUCAGAUGAUGGAAGAACAUGACCUUGAAGAAGGGGAAGCAUGUUAUUACAACAAGGAUGAUGAUGAUACAAGCUUUGACCCUGAUAUAGCACUCUCUUACAUUGAUGAGAAACUUCAAAGUGUCCUGGGUCAUUUUCAGAAAGAUUUUGAAGGAGGUGUUUCUGCCGAGAAUUU